rnacentral:tRNA from 1 species
GCCCCCGUGGUGAAACUGGUAUACACAAGGGACUUAAAAUCCCUCGUCCGUACAAGGACUUGGCGGUUCGACCCCGCCCGGGGGCACCA